rnacentral:sRNA from 1 species
AGCUUAGUAUGUGUCUUGGAGUCAAAUAUGACUAGAUGUCAUUUGUAUAAUUGAGUAUGAGAAUUAGAACCGCAACCGGAUCCCAAAAGGUAAAGUAGUGUUUCCUUGUUAGAAGAGACAAAGCCAAAGACUCAUACGGACUUCGGCUACACCAUCAAAGCAGUGAGAAGCAAGAAGAAGCUUGUUUAGUGUUU